UCAGGACAACGUGUGAGGUGGGAAGGUGUCCUUCUGGCAAAGGUGCUGACGUAGACGUAUCGACGACGCGGGACGGUGUCCCAGUAGCCGAUGUUGUGAGUUGACUGAGGAAGCUUUUAAGGCGGAGUCUGUGCCGUAUGAAAAGUCUUCGGCAACACCUGCGCCCUAAUAGAGAGCAAGCGAAUGAGAGGAUACGCAUGCCAACCAUGCUGAACAGACGGGAGAGGUUACCAUGGAGAUUGUACGAACGAUUCAAUGUCUCUCUCCUCGGGCAAGGCCGUUUGGUUUGUUGUAUAGCAAUACUCAACAUGAUUCCAGCGGCGGUCUGUAAUAUGGCGGCGGUCUAUGCUUAGCGACUAUUGAUCUCUGGAAC